rnacentral:rRNA from 1 species
AGAGUUUGAUCCUGGCUCAGGACGAACGCCGGCGGCGUGCCUAAUACAUGCAAGUAGAACGCUGAAGGAGGAGCUUGGUCUUCUGGAUGAGUUGCGAACGGGUGAGUAACGCGUAGGUAACCUGCCUGGGAGCGGGGGAUAACUAUUGGAAACGAUAGGUAAUACCCCAUAACAUUGACUAUUGCAUGAUAGUCCAUUGAAAGGUGCAAAUGCACCACUACCAGAUGGACCUGCGUUGUAUUAUCUAGUUGGGGGGGUAACGGCUCUCCAAGGCGACAAUACAUAUCCGACCUGAGAGGGUGAUCGGCCACACUGGGACUGAGACACGGCCCACACUCCUACGGGAGGCAGCAGUAGGGAAUCUUCGGCAAUGGACGGAAAUCUGACCGAGAAACGCCGCGCGAGUGAAAAAAGUGUUCGGAUCUCAAAGCUCUGUUGCAAAAGAAAAACGAGUGUGAGAGUGGAAAGUUCACACUGUGACGGUAUCUUACCACAAAGGGACGGCUAACUACGUGCCCCCAGCCGCGGUAAUACGUAUGUCCCGAGCGUUGUCCGGAUUUAUUGUGCGUAAAGCGAGCGCACGCGGUUAUAUAAGUCUGAAAUUAAAGGCUGUGUCUUAUCCCUAUUACGCUUUGUAAACUGUGUAACUUGAGUGCGCAAGGGGAGAGUGGAAUUCUCUGUGUAGCGGUGAAAUGCGUAUAUAUAUGGAGGAACACCGGUGGCGAAAGCGGGUCUCUGUCUUGUGACUGACACUGAGGCUCGAAAGCGUGUGGAGCACACACGAUUAUAUACCCUCCUAGUCCACGCCGUAUACGAUGAGUGCGAUGUGUGAUACACUUUCCGGGGGUUUAUAGUCGCAGCUAACGCAUUAAACACUCUGCCUGGGGAGUACACCAGCAAGGUUGUAACUCUCAAGGAGAUUUACACGGGGGGCCCGCCCACAACGCUGUGAGAGAUGUUGUGUUUUAUUAUCUUAGACAACGCCGCAGAAAAACAUAAAAAA